UACAGAGGGGGCAAGCGUUGUUCGGAAUUACUGGGCGUAAAGGGCGCGUAGGCGGCCGCCUAAGUCAGACGUGAAAUCCCUCGGCUCAACCGGGGAACUGCGUCUGAUACUGGGUGGCUUGAAUCCGGGAGAGGGAUGCGGAAUUCCAGGUGUAGCGGUGAAAUGCGUAGAUAUCUGGAGGAACACCGGUGGCGAAGGCGGGUCUCUGGGCCGAUACUGACGCUGAGGCGCGAAAGCUAGGGGAGCGAACGGG
rnacentral:rRNA from 1 species